CAUUUUCAAAUGAGUACAUCUUUUUUAAUAAUAUAGAUUAAAAUCUAACUAAUGUUUAGUUUACUUUUUUAGCUCUUAACUUUUCAACACACUAUUCUCUUUCUUUAUAUUUUCUUUUCUCUUUUUGCCGAAAUUCAGUCCAUCGAUAAAAGACGACGGAGAAGAAGAAGUUGAGCGUUAGAUUCAUCAAUUGCGUUGACGGAGAGUAAAGGAUCUUGUUGAUGUAGAGGUGUUAUGUGACGGCGGCUCCGACAAUUUUGGCGGUUGCUCUGUGGCCGGAGAUGGUGAUAAACUUCUUCAGCCGUUCACAGGCCUUUAGAGCCUUUGUGUGUGGGUUUUUAGGCAUCAAAGACAUGUGCUUUCCAUCUAUGGUGUAUCCUCCACCGUUUUCCAUCGUCUCCACAACCAUUAUCCGCCGUCUCUGUCACCGCACCGUGUCUCCACCAACAUUCUCUAGCAUCUCUGCCACAAUUUUAACUUGGAUCCUCUGAUUUGUCCAGAGUCGGAACUCAAAUCGUACCCGUCACAACGUAGAAAUGGCCAUCCGAGGAAAGAUGUAGAGCUGAUGCACGAUAAUAUUUUCCUCAUCCUUUACAAGACCUGUAAGAACAAUCUCUUUUAACAUUUUCAAGUCUGCUUAUUUUCUUCAUCUGGAUUUAUCUUGUUUAAUUGUUUGGUAAAAUUUUAGAUUAUUUUUAUCUUGGCCGUAUUUGUUUCCCUUCUUUGGAUUUUCUUUCUAUCUCAACCUAUUGGAAUUUCAUUGUGAGUGUCGCAUGUUUUUAACAAAAACAGAGUUUGUUUCUUGUUUAUGCAGAAAAUGAGAAUUUAUGCCUCUACGAAUUUCCAACUGAGACAUGUGAGGUUAAUCUUUUGUGUUGAAGUUCCUUUUUUGUGUAGGGAGUGUGACUAUUGUUGCAGAGAGACAAGCAAGUAGUUAAUUUGGGCUAUUGUACACCGUUUACAGUGUACAUGUGGACACUUACAUGCGGAUACCAACAAAAAAUUCAUGUACACUGAUGAACUUAUGGUCGUAUGUACAUAUCAAUAAUUUUUUGUUUGUAAACUUGGUGUCGUUUUUUCUCAUAAUUGAGUUGAUCCCUUGUUUGAAUCAAAAUUGUGAUUUUUUAACUACUAAGGUGAUGAUUGUUUCAGUA